ACGCUGGCGGCAUGCUUUACACAUGCAAGUCGGACGGCAGCACAGAGAAGCUUGCUUCUUGGGUGGCGAGUGGCGAACGGGUGAGUAACAUAUCGGAACGUACCGAGUAAUGGGGGAUAACUAAUCGAAAGAUUAGCUAAUACCGCAUAUUCUCUGAGGAGGAAAGCAGGGGACCUUCGGGCCUUGCGUUAUUCGAGCGGCCGAUAUCUGAUUAGCUAGUUGGUGGGGUAAAGGCCUACCAAGGCGACGAUCAGUAGCGGGUCUGAGAGGAUGAUCCGCCACACUGGGACUGAGACACGGCCCAGACUCCUACGGGAGGCAGCAGUGGGGAAUUUUGGACAAUGGGCGCAAGCCUGAUCCAGCCAUGCCGCGUGUCUGAAGAAGGCCUUCGGGUUGUAAAGGACUUUUGUCAGGGAAGAAAAGGCUGUUGCUAAUACCGACAGUUGAUGACGGUACCUGAAGAAUAAGCACCGGCUAACUACGUGCCAGCAGCCGCGGUAAUACGUAGGGUGCGAGCGUUAAUCGGAAUUACUGGGCGUAAAGCGAGCGCAGACGGUUACUUAAGCAGGAUGUGAAAUCCCCGGGCUCAACCUGGGAACUGCGUUCUGAACUGGGUGACUAGAGUGUGUCAGAGGGAGGUAGAAUACCACGUGUAGCAGUGAAAUGCGUAGAGAUGUGGAGGAAUACCGAUGGCGAAGGCAGCCUCCUGGGAUAACACUGACGUUCAUGCUCGAAAGCGUGGGUAGCAAACAGGAUUAGAUACCCUGGUAGUCCACGCCCUAAACGAUGUCAAUUAGCUGUUGGGCAACUUGAUUGCUUAGUAGCGUAGCUAACGCGUGAAAUUGACCGCCUGGGGAGUACGGUCGCAAGAUUAAAACUCAAAGGAAUUGACGGGGACCCGCACAAGCGGUGGAUGAUGU
rnacentral:rRNA from 1 species